rnacentral:rRNA from 1 species
GGUGAAAAGCACCCCGGAAGGGGAGUGAAAUAGAACCUGAAACCGUGUGCUUACAAGUAGUCAGAGCCCGUUAAUGGGUGAUGGCGUGCCUUUUGUAGAAUGAACCGGCGAGUUACGAUUUGAUGCAAGGUUAAGCAGUAAAUGUGGAGCCGUAGCGAAAGCGAGUCUGAAUAGGGCGUUUAGUAUUUGGUCGUAGACCCGAAACCAGGUGAUCUACCCUUGGUCAGGUUGAAGUUCAGGUAACACUGAAUGGAGGACCGAACCGACUUACGUUGAAAAGUGAGCGGAUGAACUGAGGGUAGCGGAGAAAUUCCAAUCGAACCUGGAGAUAGCUGGUUCUCUCCGAAAUAGCUUUAGGGCUAGCCUCAAGUGAUGAUUAUUGGAGGUAGAGCACUGUUUGGACGAGGGGCCCCUCUCGGGUUACCGAAUUCAGACAAACUCCGAAUGCCAAUUAAUUUAACUUGGGAGUCAGAACAUGGGUGAUAAGGUCCGUGUUCGAAAGGGAAACAGCCCAGACCACCAGCUAAGGUCCCAAAAUAUAUGUUAAGUGGAAAAGGAUGUGGCGUUGCCCAGACAACUAGGAUGUUGGCUUAGAAGCAGCCAUCAUUUAAAGAGUGCGUAAUAGCUCACUAGUCGAGUGACACUGCGCCGAAAAUGUACCGGGGCUAAACAUAUUACCGAAGCUGUGGAUUGUCCUUUGGACAAUGGUAGGAGAGCGUUCUAAGGGCGUUGAAGCAUGAUCGUAAGGACAUGUGGAGCGCUUAGAAGUGAGAAUGCCGGUGUGAGUAGCGAAAGACGGGUGAGAAUCCCGUCCACCGAUUGACUAAGGUUUCCAGAGGAAGGCUCGUCCGCUCUGGGUUAGUCGGGUCCUAAGCUGAGGCCGACAGGCGUAGGCGAUGGAUAACAGGUUGAUAUUCCUGUACCACCUAUAAUCGUUUUAAUCGAUGGGGGGACGCAGUAGGAUAGGCGAAGCGUGCGAUUGGAUUGCACGUCUAAGCAGUAAGGCUGAGUAUUAGGCAAAUCCGGUACUCAUUAAGGCUGAGCUGUGAUGGGGAGAAGACAUUGUGUCUUCGAGUCGUUGAUUUCACACUGCCGAGAAAAGCCUCUAGAUAGAAAAUAGGUGCCCGUACCGCAAACCGACACAGGUAGUCAAGAUGAGAAUUCUAAGGUGAGCGAGCGAACUCUCGUUAAGGAACUCGGCAAAAUGACCCCGUAACUUCGGGAGAAGGGGUGCUCUUUAGGGUUAACGCCCAGAAGAGCCGCAGUGAAUAGGCCCAAGCGACUGUUUAUCAAAAACACAGGUCUCUGCUAAACCGUAAGGUGAUGUAUAGGGGCUGACGCCUGCCCGGUGCUGGAAGGUUAAGAGGAGUGGUUAGCUUCUGCGAAGCUACGAAUCGAAGCCCCAGUAAACGGCGGCCGUAACUAUAACGGUCCUAAGGUAGCGAAAUUCCUUGUCGGGUAAGUUCCGACCCGCACGAAAGGCGUAACGAUUUGGGCACUGUCUCAACGAGAGACUCGGUGAAAUCAUAGUACCUGUGAAGAUGCAGGUUACCCGCGACAGGACGGAAAGACCCCGUGGAGCUUUACUGUAGCCUGAUAUUGAAAUUCGGCACAGCUUGUACAGGAUAGGUAGGAGCCUUUGAAACGUGAGCGCUAGCUUACGUGGAGGCGCU